rnacentral:rRNA from 1 species
GAUGAACGCUGGCGGCGUGCCUAAUACAUGCAAGUCGAGCGAACAGAUAAGGAGCUUGCUCCUUUGAAGUUAGCGGCGGACGGGUGAGUAACACGUGGGUAACCUACCUAUAAGACUGGGAUAACUUCGGGAAACCGGAGCUAAUACCGGAUAACAUUUAGAACCGCAUGGUUCUAAAGUGAAAGAUGGUUUUGCUAUCACUUAUAGAUGGACCCGCGCCGUAUUAGCUAGUUGGUAAGGUAACGGCUUACCAAGGCGACGAUACGUAGCCGACCUGAGAGGGUGAUCGGCCACACUGGAACUGAGACACGGUCCAGACUCCUACGGGAGGCAGCAGUAGGGAAUCUUCCGCAAUGGGCGAAAGCCUGACGGAGCAACGCCGCGUGAGUGAUGGAGGGUUUCGGCUCGUAAAACUCUGUUAUUAGGGAAGAACAAAUGUGUAAGUAACUGUGCACAUCUUGACGGUACCUAAUCAGAAAGCCACGGCUAACUACGUGCCAGCAGCCGCGGUAAUACGUAGGUGGCAAGCGUUAUCCGGAAUUAUUGGGCGUAAAGCGCGCGUAGGCGGUUUCUUAAGUCUGAUGUGAAAGCCCACGGCUCAACCGUGGAGGGUCAUUGGAAACUGGGAAACUUGAGUGCAGAAGAGGAAAGUGGAAUUCCAUGUGUAGCGGUGAAAUGCGCAGAGAUAUGGAGGAACACCAGUGGCGAAGGCGACUUUCUGGUCUGUAACUGACGCUGAUGUGCGAAAAGCGUGGGGAUCAAACAGGAUUAGAUACCCUGGUAGUCCACGCCGUAAACGAUGAGUGCUAAGUGUUAGGGGGUUUCCGCCCCUUAGUGCUGCAGCUAACGCAUUAAGCACUCCGCCUGGGGAGUACGACCGCAAGGUUGAAACUCAAAGGAAUUGACGGGGACCCGCGCAAGCGGUGGAGCAUGUGGUUUAAUUCGAAGCAACGCGAAGAACCUUACCAAAUCUUGACAUCCUUUGAAAACUCUAGAGAUAGAGCCUUCCCCUUCGGGGGACAAAGUGACAGGUGGUGCAUGGUUGUCGUCAGCUCGUGUCGUGAGAUGUUGGGUUAAGUCCCGCAACGAGCGCAACCCUUAAGCUUAGUUGCCAUCAUUAAGUUGGGCACUCUAGGUUGACUGCCGGUGACAAACCGGAGGAAGGUGGGGAUGACGUCAAAUCAUCAUGCCCCUUAUGAUUUGGGCUACACACGUGCUACAAUGGACAAUACAAAGGGCAGCUAAACCGCGAGGUCAUGCAAAUCCCAUAAAGUUGUUCUCAGUUCGGAUUGUAGUCUGCAACUCGACUACAUGAAGCUGGAAUCGCUAGUAAUCGUAGAUCAGCAUGCUACGGUGAAUACGUUCCCGGGUCU